CUGCGUGUUUUUGGUUUAGGAGUUAACUCCUUUUCCGGCGUACCUCUAAUUCUAAAUACAUUCUUGAAAAGACUGUAAUCAAGAGAAAGAAAGAAAAAUUUCCUUAAUUAAUGUAUCCAAAAACUUCACCGUCCUACUUUUUGGCCCUGAGAGCUCGUUCAAUCGCUAGAACAAAAUUCACGCUUCUCUUCGUGCCGAGAGUUGGCGCGCAACUGGCAAUAAUCGUCGAGUGGUGGGAGGUGAAGGAAGAAAAA
rnacentral:lncRNA from 1 species